rnacentral:rRNA from 1 species
AUUGAACGCUGGCGGCAGGCCUAACACAUGCAAGUCGAGCGAGCGGCGGAUGGGUGAGUAAUGUAUGGGGACUGCCCGAUAGAGGGGGAUAACUCCUGGAAACGGUGGCUAAUACCGCCUACUGUCUGAUAACCCAUAUGGGAUUAGCUAGUAGGUAAGGUAAUGGCUUACCUAGGCGACGAUCCCUAGCUGGUCUGAGAGGAUGAUCAGCCAACAAGGGAAUGAGACCCGGCCCAGACUCCUACGGAGGCAGCAGUGGGGAAUAUUGCACCAUGGGCGCAAGCCUGAUGCAGCCAGGCCGCGUGAGUGAUGACGGCCUUCGGGUUGUAAAGCUCUGUUAAUCGGGAGACGGUACCGGAAUAGAAAGCCACGGCUAACUACGUGCCAGCAGCCGCGGUAAUAC